rnacentral:sRNA from 1 species
UGCUACAGCUUCCCAUCCGCCAGCACAGC